rnacentral:rRNA from 1 species
GACGAACGCUGGCGGCGUGCUUAACACAUGCAAGUCGAACGGUGAAGCGCUUGCCUUUUUGGUGGGUGUGGAUGAGUGGCGAACGGGUGAGUAACACGUGAGUAACCUGCCCUCUUCUUCUGGAUAACCUCAUGAAAGUGGGGCUAAUACGGGGUAUUCCGGGUCUGUCGCAUGGCGGGUUUGGGAAAGAUUGCGCCUUUGGGUGUUUUCGGUGGGGGAUGGGCUCGCGGCCUAUCAGCUUGUUGGUGGGGUGAUGGCCUACCAAGGCGGUGACGGGUAGCCGGCCUGGGAGGGUGGACGGCCACACUGGGACUGAGGCACGGCCCAGCCUCCUGCGGGAGGCAGCAGGGGGGAAUAGUGCACAAUGGGCGCAAGCCUGAUGCAGCGACGCCGCGUGAGGGAUGGAGGCCUGCGGGUUGUGAACCUCUUUCGCCAGUGAAGCAGGCCUGCCUCGUUUGUGGGUGGGUUGACGGUAGCUGGAUAAGAAGCGCCGGCUAACUACGUG